UGUGUAGGCGGUUUUUUAAGUUUGGUGUGAAAUCUCCCGGCUCAACCGGGAGGGUGCGCCGAAAACUGGGAGACUAGAGUGCGGGAUGGGAGAGUAGAAUUCCUGGUGUAGCGGUGAAAUGCGUAGAUAUCAGGAGGAAUACCGGUGGUGUAGACGGCUCUCUGGACCGCCACUGACGCUGAGACACGAAAGCGUGGGUAGCAAACA
rnacentral:rRNA from 1 species